AGUGAACGCUGGCGGUAGGCCUAACACAUGCAAGUCGAACGGCAGCACAGUAAGAGCUUGCUCUUACGGGUGGCGAGUGGCGGACGGGUGAGGAAUACAUCGGAAUCUACUUUUUCGUGGGGGAUAACGUAGGGAAACUUACGCUAAUACCGCAUACGACCUACGGGUGAAAGCAGGGGAUCUUCGGACCUUGCGCGAUUGAAUGAGCCGAUGUCGGAUUAGCUAGUUGGCGGGGUAAAGGCCCACCAAGGCGACGAUCCGUAGCUGGUCUGAGAGGAUGAUCCGCCCCCCUGAAACUGGACACCGGUCCAGCCCCCUACGGGGGGACGAGGUGGGGAAUUUUGGCCAAGGGGCGAAAGCCUGAUCCGGCCAUACCGGGUGGGUGAAGAAGGCCUUCGGGUUGUAAAGCCCUUUUGUUGGGAAAAAAAAGCAGCAGGUUAAUCCCCCGCUGUUCUGACGGACCCCAAAAAAUAAGCACCGGCUAACUUCGU
rnacentral:rRNA from 1 species